CUACUACACAUCCCGCGUUGAUCAAGAUAUACCGUUACAUGGAUAACUGUAGUAAUUCUAGAGCUAAUACAUGCCUCGAAUCCGUGACCCCGCGAGGGGGAUCGGUGCACUUAUCAGUACAAGACCAGCCGGGCGUCUUCGGAUGCCCGACCACGUCGUGUUGACUCUGGAUAAUUUCUACAGAUCGCAGUCGGCCUUGUGUCGGCGACAGUUCUUUCAAAUGUCUGCCCUAUCAACUUACGAUGGUAGGUAACCUGCCUACCAUGGUGAUAACGGGUAACGGGGAAUCAGGGUUCGAUUCCGGAGAGGGAGCCUGAGAAACGGCUACCACAUCCAAGGAAGGCAGCAGGCGCGCAAAUUACCCACUCCCGGCACGGGGAGGUAGUGACGAAAAAUAACGAUGCGGAACUCUAUGAGGAUCCGUAAUCGGAAUGAGUACAGUCUAAAUCCUUUAACGAGGAUCAAUUGGAGGGCAAGUCUGGUGCCAGCAGCCGCGGUAACUCCAGCUCCAAUAGCGUAUAUUAAAGUUGCUGCAGUUAAAAAGCUCGUAGUUGGAUCUUGACGGUACUGCCGCGAGUCAUUGUUUGUUUGCUUGAGAGGUUGAUCCGUCUUCUUUUCAAGUGGCAUACUUUGUCUCGUCAGCGGUGCAGUCUUUCAGCCGUGUCUGUUCUCUUCGGAGUUCAGGUGCUGUUCGUCGGAUGGGCUUGUCUCGUCUGUCGGGCGGUACGCACUACGAUCCACUUUAUUGCGUGUCGUGGUGCGGGCGGCAUGUUUACUUUGAACAAAAUUUGAGUGCUCAAAGCAAGGCCAAUGUGUCUGAAAAGUCUUGCAUGGAAUAAUGGCAUAGGACUUCAGUUCUAUUUGUUGGCUUUCGGAAUCUGAGUUAUUGCUAAGAAGAGAACCGGACCGGGGGGGGG
rnacentral:rRNA from 1 species